UCAAGCGACUAAGUGCAUGUGGUGGAUGCCUUGGCGAUCACAGGCGAUGAAGGACGCGGCAGUCUGCGAAAAGCCCCGGGGAGCUGACAACGAGCUUUGAUCCGGGGGUCUCCGAAUGAGGGAACUCCAAGCUUUAGCUUGAUCCAUGCGUGAAUACAUAGCGCAUGGAGGCGAACGCGGCGAACUGAAACAUCUCAGUAGCUGCAGGAAAAGAAAUCAACCGAGAUUCCGGAAGUAGCGGCGAGCGAAACCGGAACAGCCUGAAUUCGAUAUUGAGAAGAACACUGGAAGAGUCUGGAAAGGCUCGCCAUAGUGGGUGAUAGCCCCGUACGGGACGUUCAUCUCAAGGUACUGAGGAUUCGAAAAGUAGGUCGGGGCACGUGAAACCCUGGCUGAACAUGGGGGGACCAUCCUCCAAGGCUAAAUACUCGUGAUCGACCGAUAGCGUACUAGUACUGUGAAGGAAAGGUUAAAAGAACCCCGGGAGGGGAGUGAAAUAGAUUCUGAAACCGCAUGCAUACAAACAGUAGGAGCCCUUCGGGGUGACUGCGUACCUUUUGCAUAAUGGGUCAGCGACUUAUGUUAUGUGGCAAGCCUAACCGAUUAGGGGAGGCGCAGCGAAAGCGAGUCCGAACAGGGCGAUUCAGUCGCAUGGCAUAGACCCGAAACCAGAUGAGCUAACCAUGGCCAGGCUGAAGGUGUGGUAACACACACUGGAGGGCCGAACCUACUGGUGUUGCAAAACCAGAGGAUGAGCUGUGGUUAGGGGUGAAAGGCUUAACAAAUCUGGAGAUAGCUGGUUCUCCCCGAAAACUAUUGAGGUAGUGCCUUGCGCAUGAGCUUCUGGGGGUAGAGCACUGUUAUAGCUAGGGGGACAUGGCGUCUUACCAAACUAUGGCAAACUCCGAAUACCAGAAAGCUUCGCGCAGGAGACAGAGCACCGGGUGCUAACGUCCGGACUCAAAAGGGAAUCAACCCAGACCGCCAGCUAAGGUCCCUAAUAUCAGCUAAGUGGAAAACGAAGUGGAAAGGCUAAAACAGUCAGGAAGUUGGCUUAGAAGCAGCCAUCCUUCAAAGAAAGCGUAAUAGCUCACUGAUCGAGUCCUUCCGCGCGGAAGAUGUAACGGGGCUAAGUUGAUAACCGAAGCUGCGGAUUCACACUUUGAGUGUGAGUGGUAGGGGAGCGUUCUGUAAGCCUGUGAAGGUGGAUCGUAAGGUCUGCUGGAGGUAUCAGAAGUGCGAAUGCUGACAUGAGUAACGAUAAAGCGGGUGAAAAGCCCGCUCGCCGCAAACCCAAGGUUUCCUGCUCUACGUUAAUCGGAGCAGGGUGAGUCGGUUCCUAAGGCCAGGCUGAGAAGCGUAGCUGAUGGAAAUCAGGUUAAUAUUCCUGAACCGGCGUUGAAUGCGAUGGGGUGACGGAGCAGCCAGAGUGGACCGGGUGUUGGAUGUCCCGGCUUCCGAGCGAUGGGUGCCUGCAGGCAAAUCCGCAGGCGUAUACCCAGGACGAAGGAUCGGGCCUUCUUUUGAAGGCGAAGCCACUGGAAGCGCUUCCAGGAAAAACCUCUAAGCUUCAGUUCAACGGCGACCGUACCGUAAACCGACACAGGUGGGUGAGCUGAAUAUGCUCAGGCGCUUGAGAGAACUCGGGAGAAGGAACUCGGCAAAUUGACACCGUAACUUCGGAAGAAGGUGUGCCUUUGUAGCUUGAUGGGAGAGAAACCCAAAGGGCGAAGAGGUCUCAGAGAAUCGGUGGCUGUAACUGUUUACUAAAAACACAGCGCUCUGCAAAGAUGAAAGUCGACGUAUAGGGCGUGAUGCCUGCCCGGUGCUGGAAGAUUAAUUGAUGGGGUGCAAGCUCCUGAUCGAAGUCCCAGUAAACGGCGGCCGUAACUAUAACGGUCCUAAGGUAGCGAAAUUCCUUGUC
rnacentral:rRNA from 1 species